rnacentral:rRNA from 1 species
CACGUAGGGUGCGAGCGUUGUCCGGAAUUAUUGGGCGUAAAGAGCUCGUAGGCGGUGUGUCGCGUCGGCCGUGAAAACCUGCAGCUUAACUGUGGGCGUGCGGUCGAUACGGGCAUCACUGGAGUUCGGCAGGGGAGACUGGAAUUCCUGGUGUAGCGGUGAAAUGCGCAGAUAUCAGGAGGAACACCGGUGGCGAAGGCGGGUCUCUGGGCAGCUCCUGACGCUGAGGCGCGAAAGCGUGGGGAGCAAACGGG